GGAUCAGUGCCUUGAGCCCGUGGGCUCUCUGUGCAUGCUGAAAGCAGCGUGGCACUGCUGCUGGGCUGGGACAUGAUGUCUAGGGGACACUGGCACGGGACAUGGCACUGCCCCACAGCUUUUGGGGCAUGCAGAUGGGGACAGGCUGUGCUUGGACAGCCCAUUCUUCCCCAUCCUUCCUGCCCCUAACAGCAAAUUGUGCCCCACAGCUGCAGCCAGCAGGCUGGAGAUCUCCGUGCCAGCCGUGGUGGAAGUGGAGACGGGGGCACAGCCAGGAUCGAGUGCAACUUCUACAUCCCUGAGGAUGCUCCCUGCACCUACAUCGACUGGUUCUAGGUGGACACAGCAAACAAGCAGGUGAGGCUGUACCACAUCACAGCCAGCAGGGUCGUGCAGGACAACACUGACUACAGGCACCAGCUGUGGGGACAAGGCUCUGUCCAUCAGCCAGGUGACAGUGCAGGGUGCCAGGACCUUCGUGUGCCAGGUUGGAGCUGGCAGCUGCGGCGUGGGCGAGAGCAGCACCGAGCUCAGCGUCUGCAAGGUCCCCGAGACCCCUGGGAUGGAGAUGCUCACCUCUAGCCUGGAGAGGGAGCUUGGCAGAGCUUCUCUCGCUGCUCCUCUCCCUGCAGGAGGGCUGAGCCACCAUGGAAUGGAACUGCUGCCACCACGCUGACCCACGGGCCCGUUCUGACUCCAGCAGUGGUUUUUGCUUGUUUGUACUGUUGCAUUUGUAUUUUUAAUUUUCCUAGUAAA